rnacentral:rRNA from 1 species
AUUGAACGCUGGCGGCAGGCCUAACACAUGCAAGUCGAGCGGGGUUUUCGGACCUAGCGGCGGACGGGUGAGUAAUGCGUAGGAAGCUACCCGAUAGAGGGGGAUACCAGUUGGAAACGACUGUUAAUACCGCAUAAUGUCUACGGACCAAAGUGUGGGACCUUCGGGCCACAUGCUAUCGGAUGCGCCUACGUGGGAUUAGCUAGUUGGUGGGGUAAUGUCUCACCAAGGCGACGAUCCCUAGCUGGUUUGAGAGGAUGAUCAGCCACACUGGAACUGAGACACGGUCCAGACUCCUGAGGGAGGCAGCAGUGGGGAAUAUUGGACAAUGGGGGCAAGCCUGAUCCAGCCAUGCCGCGUGUGUGAAGAAGGCCUUCGGGUUGUAAAGCACUUUCAGCGAGGAGGAAGGGAGUUGCGUUAAUAGCACAGCUUUUUGACGUUACUCGCAGAAGAAGCACCGGCUAACUCUGUGCCAGCCGCCGCCGUAACAC